rnacentral:rRNA from 1 species
GACGAACGCUGGCGGCGUGCUUAACACAUGCAAGUCGAACGGAAAGGCCCUGCUUUUGUGGGGUGCUCGAGUGGCGAACGGGUGAGUAACACGUGAGUAACCUGCCCUUGACUUUGGGAUAACUUCAGGAAACUGGGGCUAAUACCGGAUAGGAGCUCCUGCUGCAUGGUGGGGGUUGGAAAGUUUCGGCGGUUGGGGAUGGACUCGCGGCUUAUCAGCUUGUUGGUGGGGUAGUGGCUUACCAAGGCUUUGACGGGUAGCCGGCCUGAGAGGGCGACCGGCGGCACUGUAACUGAGACACGGUCCAGACUCCUACGGGAGGACGCAGGAGGGAAUCUGCCGCAAGGGGCGAAAGCCGGACGGAGCAGCGCCGCGUGAUGGAUGACGCGCUUCGGAGCGUAGAAGUCUGUGAGUAGGGAAGAACAAAUGUGUAAGGAAAUAGGCACGUCUUGACGGUAGCUAAGAAGAAAGACACGGCUAACUUCGUG